ensembl:ncRNA K09G1.6 ncRNA
CACAAAUCGGAUACACAUUAUACAGGAAUUCGGGAAAACCUAUGCAAUGAAGCGUAGAUGGAUUUGUAUCCGAAGAGAGA